UCAGUAGUGGUAAUGCACCUUAAAGUUAGUUGCCAACUGCCAUAUAAAGUCCAAAGAAUAAGCAGCAGUAGCUGCUUGAAGGAGGAGAGAUUACUAGAAACGAACUUGGUUUAACCUUUUAUCUGUGGAUUAAUUGUCAGGGAAGAGGACUUGUCCAUUUCUGGAUAACGAAGGUGAAAAGCGAAGAGGAAGAAUGUGAUCAGCAGAAAUAGUUGUGAUAGUCACACUGAGAACAAUACCCCAGUGAAACAGACCCGAAGGUCACUAUGAUGUUUCGGUGAAAUUAGAAUACUCAGGACACUUGUGUCACUGAGGAAUCAGAAAUUACACAUCAUUGUAGUGCCACAACAAGAACCUCAAACAACAAAUGUGACCAAGGUAUACAGGAUAACAGGAUAGUUAGAAUCAGAGAGUCACUGUAAAACUAAAACCUCAAAGGAAGACUUGGAACUUUCAACAAAUGCAGCAGGACAAAAUGAGAGAGUAAAAGAGUGAGAAAUGGUCACUGUAGUACCACUAAAACUAGAACCAGAAAUGUAAGAUGUGGAACUCCCAAGAAGUGCACGCCAAAAUGAUAAAUGAUCUGGGAGAGAAAUUCUUUACAUUAUGCAGAGAUCACAGUAGCAAUAGAACAUGGAUGCUACUGUAAAACAUUUGAAUCCUGCUUAUGGGCAAUUUAGAACACACCCGUAGAUUCCUUGUCAAAAAGUGUAUAUUCUUUUGCAUUAUGUCCUGUAGGAUCAUCCGCAGAUAUAUAGUGGAGAGAUGCCAUACGAGUGCUCAGUGUUACAAGCGCUUCAUUUGAAAUUCUGACCUCAUCAAGCACAGACUGGUCCACUCUGACCAACGACCAUACUCCUGCCCCAUCUGUGGCAAAAGCUUCAAGCUGAUGUUGACAAGUAUCAGGUGGUGCAUGAAGACAUUCUUCCCUUCGUCUGUGCCUAGUGUGAUAAAGGCUUCAAGCAGGCAGCCUGCCUGACAAAGCAUAAGAAAUUCCACAGAAGAUCCCUUCGGGUGCACCAUCUGUGGGUGCAACUUUAAAUGGGAGGUGUCACUAAAAGACCAUUUGCAUUUCCACAAGGGUGGGAUGACCUUUGUCUGCCCAGAGGAGUGCUGUGGAGGGCGACUUCAGCCAUCGCUCAACCUACCUGCAGCACUGUCGUACACACAAGAAGUAUGAGGAGCACUCCUGCCAGUUCUGCAGCCGCGUCUGAAUGCACAUACACUCAACAGCACGGGUCCGAAAUCUAGUCUGGCUGAUACCAAACUCGAAGUCUUCCUGACUUCAGAGUCUAGAAAGGGUCCUUGAUGUUAUAGGCACAAUGCAUCUAAUGAAGAUGGCUGUGCUUUUUUGCUGAUUGGUUCACUUGUGUCUUUCUCACUCCGGCACCCACAUGGACAGCCAUGCACAUUUUUACGUUUUUUUACAUUCUUUGCUUCCACAGGGAAGGGGUGGAUUUUAGGUAUAAGUGGUGGUUGCGAGGGAAGGGUGGUUGAAUGGGUGGGGGAAUGGGAGGCUCAGAAUGGAAGCUCAUUUUUGUUUCCAAAUUAAAAUGAUCAACACUUUGUAUUUAUGUAAUCUCCUCCUCCAACAGUGAGCGUCUGCUAAAUGACUUAAAUGUAAAUGUACAUAUGCAUGGACCCGUUGUGUAAUGAUCAAAUAUGGAGGUGUGUAGAGGUAAUUUAAAUCAGCCAGAUACAAACAUUACCUACUUUCCCAAAUUAGGGUGGUGAUCUGUACUUCUAAUCUACAGAUCAUAUCUCAGCCCUAUCUUUAGGACAGACAAUUGAGAGGAUUAUGCCUUACUGACAGACCAAUGAACACACAGGCAAAGCCCUUAAUCUCUGGUGUAGUUAUAAACAUGUCAGGGGCUCUAUAGAGAGGCUGAAUAGUGUGUGGUAGUGUUUGUUGAGUGGAGGGAGGGAGGGGGCAAGCCUGGAGUCCACCAGGAACAGGGCAAGCUGCCAAACUGAACUCACUGACACCCCUCCAGCUCCCUGAGCUGAGGCCAACAUUCAGACGGGAGCCAAAGGCAGCUUAGCCUGGCCAACUGGAUAAAUGUAUGGAUUUCUGAGAUCUUUCACAGUGCGUCAGAUUGCGGCCCUCCUGUUAGCCAUCUUCUGCCCACACAGCCAUGCCAAUGCCUUUAUUAGAGUCAAAUUUCAAGUGUAUCAGGCAGGAAAACUAAACAUUCCUGUGGGAUAGAAUGAAGCUCAACAGAACCAGAAAUACACAGCAUACAUAUGGCCUAUGGAAUGGUAUUCUGAUAAGUACAUGAUUGUGCUUUCCUGGGCUUUACCAACCCGAUAUUGAAGACCCCUGAUAUUGAAGAGAUAGAUUUUUGUGGUAACGGAACCUCUCACACUAAUGUAGCCUCAGUGUUCGCUCCAAGGCCAAAUAGCAUUGUUGCUGCACAUAGAAGUUUCCUGAUUGAUAGUCAUGGACACAAACUGCAAUCAAAAAACAAAGUACUGCUGCCCCCAAGAGGAUUGUGAGGCAAUACAUCCAGUUUCACUGUUGACGUCAAUACUGUACUGUCUCAAUAUCUCUACAUGCCAUGAUGUUGCUUCUUUACAAUGGUAUUCAUAUUAAUCAAGGACAGGUGAGACAAGAUACAAUGGAGCCAAACAAAUUCAGAUACUAAUUGUUUAGUCAAUAGAAGUCAAACGUCUGCCACAAUUUCUUAUCAGGCGCCAAUGAUUCAUGUCCACAGGGCUAAAUAUAGGCUUCCUGGCAAAUUAUCAUGGGGAAAUCAUAUUUAGAAAUGGGGCAGGAAACAGUACAAUUAUCAGUAAAACAACUGACGACCCUGGGCAAUUAAGGUACUAGGAAGGAGGAACAAUUUAGAACCAAAGGAACUGCUAUAGAAAGUAACCCCUUUUUGUAUUCAGUAAAAUCUCAGGUUAUGACUGAAAAGGGGUAAGGAAAAUCAUGAUCACGAAUGUUUAGAAUUUGACAGUUGUAAUAUUUAACUCUUCCCUCAAACUCAAUGUGUGGUUUGUGUGUUUCAAAUGCGAUACAAUAAAGUGCAAUAACCACCUCAGAAUGACCCAAAAUAAGGAUUUGAAAGAAUUUUUAUUGAAAUAUGUCAAUUCCAGACCUAAUCCCUUAUGGUUUCAAAAAGCGUGCUUUGGGUUUAAGUGCCAAUAUCCCAGACUCUCCUCCGAAGCCAUUUCUAGUCAUAUGAAAACCUAUACAACAGGUCAUUUGGCACAUUCAACUCAUACCAUAGUGUUCUAGACUGGCAAUUCAUACUAAAAACAACUUAGCUCCAUAUCUGAGCAAAUAAAUGCCGUAACCAUCUUUAUUGAUGAGAACGGCAUCAAAAUAGAUUUGACCGCAAGAGAAAUGUAUACAGUAAUCCUUUCAGAAUGUCACUAUAAAAACAACUCACUCCGAGAUGAAAAGUCACUUAUUCAAAGGGUUCCACGGUACUGGGUGAUGCUGAGAAUUGAUUCUGGUCACAAAACAUUCCAUCCAGGCCAUCUCAAAUCAUCCCCAAUAAUCAGCAUUGUGAUAAAUUAAUCUCUGAGCAUUGGCCAUGUUUGGAUUUCAGGUGGUGAUGAUACAUUACAUUGAAACAUCUGAGCGCAUGGAUAUCCCAUUUGAAGUGAAUAAGAGCCCCCUCUCACAUCGUAACCAAAGACUAAAUUUCAUAGGGCAAAUGACAUCAACUAAAUCAACAAUUCUUUGUCAAUGGUAAGUAGAACAUAAUCAAAUGAUUUUGCUGUUUGCUCGAUUCAUGGGAGAGCAUUAUUUUGCUAUUAAUGCUGGUCAGAAAUAGUUACCAUAGAGGUUUUAUCAGGCCUUUGCUUGGAUUUGUAUUUCCUUAGGAAGCGGUUUUAAGUAAAGAUACAAAUACUGGUCAUUGUAACAUUCAUAAAGCACGAACUCUGAUGGACAAAGGGAAACGUCUCAUUUGGACAAAACCCAGGUAAGAGUAACAAGAUCAACCAUUUUCACGUAGAAAGGUCGAGCAGAAAGGCAUUAGUUGACUAGACCAAAAUUGACUGAACAGUGAUUUCGAUAGAGCUCAGUGACAGAUUCCAAAAACAUUACAGCGUUCCUGAUCAUUUCAGGAGUUCAGGACACAAAAGAUCUGGAAUACUUUAGCCUGGCAGAUACAAAGAUAAGUCAUCCACUCCAUUUGGAAGAUAGGCGAGGCUGGUCUUGGGUUAACAGUCUUGACAAUCAUGUAGAUGAACAAGUACUAGAUAUAGGAAAUAAAACCCUUGUUUAAGAGCCAAUUGUUUGCAUGAAUUAGAGGGAAAUUAUACUACCAAUAUAUUCAUGUACACUUUAAAACAGUCGCAAAGAAAACGGAUACAAUGGUAAAAGCUGCUGCAUGGGGUAUACUAAUACUGUAUCUUCCAACUUGUGAUUAAACAGACUACGUUAGGUCAAAGCACCGAUUAUUUCAUCUUCCCUGUAUGCAUUAGUUGAUAAAAAUACAAGGAUCCAAAUUUGCCUGGUGUACAUGGCAGUUGGUCUGGCAAAUUGAGUCUGACACCAUUGUGAACUGGUUUAACUGCAUAGGGAAAACAACCUCGACCCAUUGCAUACAGGCAUAGCCAAGUACCAUCACCGUAACCAUAUGAAAAACAAAAUCAGAGCUUGCCCUGGUGGUGAAAAGAAAACACUUUCCCAGCUUGUGUUAACCCUUUCAAUUCAGUAAGCUCCUAUCACCUGAGGCUGCUCUUACAUGAUGUCCUUCUGGUUAAGACAUUUGAACAAUAUGUAAGAAAAGCCAAGCAGAGGCACCUAUGCCUGACUGGAUUUUGUAUAGCAUAGUCUUUAUUAAAUUGAUGGGGAUAGGUGCAUCUCUUUAAAAAGGAAAGAAAAUAAUGAACUGCAACAGAUGGACAAUUUGAUUGCCAAGGCAGUUUUUGCAUAAAAUACUGACUAACAUUCAAGAUGUGAAAAAAAAAAAAAACCAAGACACUGCUUUGUAGUACUGAUAUUGAGGAGUGUAAAAUAACAGAACUUGUUAC